GAUGAACGCUGGCUACAGGCUUAACACAUGCAAGUCGAGGGGCAGCAUGCCGGUUGCUUGCAACCGGUGAUGGCGACCGGCGCACGGGUGAGUAACGCGUAUCCAACCUUCCCGCGACCAAGGGAUAACCUGCCGAAAGGCAGACUAAUACCUUAUGUCCUCCUUUGAAGGCAUCUGACGAGGAGCAAAGAUCCGUCGGUCACGGAUGGGGAUGCGUCCGAUUAGCUUGUUGGCGGGGCAACGGCCCACCAAGGCUUCGAUCGGUAGGGGUUCUGAGAGGAAGGCCCCCCACACUGGAACUGAGACACGGUCCAGACUCCUACGGGAGGCAGCAGUGAGGAAUAUUGGUCAAUGGGGCGGAAAGCCCUGAAACCAGCCAAAGUAGCGUGCAGGAAUGACGGGCCCCUUAC
rnacentral:rRNA from 1 species